rnacentral:rRNA from 1 species
AUAUGCUUGUCUCAAAGAUUAAGCCAUGCAUGUCUAAGUAUAAGCAAUCUAUACAGUGAAACUGCGAAUGGCUCAUUAAAUCAGUUAUCGUUUAUUUGAUAGUACCUUACUACUUGGAUAACCGUGGUAAUUCUAGAGAUAAUACAUGCUAAAAACCUCGACUUCGGAAGGGGUGUAUUUAUUAGAUAAAAAACCAAUGCCCUUCGGGGCUCCUUGGUGAUUCAUGAUAACUUAACGAAUCGCAUGGCCUUGUGCCGGCGAUGGUUCAUUCAAAUUUCUGCCCUAUCAACUUUCGAUGGUAGGAUAGUGGCCUACCAUGGUUUCAACGGGUAACGGGGAAUUAGGGUUCUAUUCCGGAGAGGGAGCCUGAGAAACGGCUACCACAUCCAAGGAAGGCAGCAGGCGCGCAAAUUACCCAAUCCCGACACGGGGAGGUAGUGACAAUAAAUACUGAUACAGGGCUCUUUUGGGUCUUGUAAUUGGAAUGAGUACAAUUUAAAUCCCUUAACGAGGAACAAUAGGAGGNNNNNNNNNNNNNNNNNNNNNGCGGUAAUUCCAGCUCCACUAGCGUAUAUUAAAGUUGUUGCAGUUAAAAAGCUCGUAGUUGAACCUUGGGCCUGGCUGGCCGGUCCGCCUCACCGCGUGCACUGGUCCGGCCGGGCCUUUCCUCCUGGGGAGCCGCAUGCCCUUCACUGGGUGUGUCGGGGAACCAGGACUUUUACUUUGAAAAAAUUAGAGUGUUCAAAGCAGGCCUAUGCUCGAAUACAUUAGCAUGGAAUAAUAGAAUAGGACGUGUGGUUCUAUUUUGUUGGUUUCUAGGACCGCCGUAAUGAUUAAUAGGGAUAGUCGGGGGCAUCAGUAUUCAAUUGUCAGAGGUGAAAUUCUUGGAUUUAUUGAAGACUAACUACUGCGAAAGCAUUUGCCAAGGAUGUUUUCAUUAAUCAGUGAACGAAAGUUAGGGGAUCGAAGACGAUCAAAUACCGUCGUACUCUUAACCAUAAACUAUGCCGACUAGGGAUCGGGCGAUGUUAUCUUUUUGACUCGCUCGGCACCUUACGAGAAAUCAAAGUUUUUGGGUUC